GACAGAGGUGCCGAGCGUUAGGCGGAAUCACUGGGCUUAAAGCGUGUGUAGGCGGGUCGUUAAGUACCUUGUGAAAUCCCCCCGGCUUAACCGGGGAACUGCUGGGUAUACUGGCGACCUUGAGCAAUCCAGGGGCGAGCGGAACAAGCGGUGGAGCGGUGAAAUGCGUAGAUAUCGCUUGGAACGCCGAAGGUGAAAACAGGUCGCUGGGGAUGUGCCGACGCUGAGACACGAAAGCCAGGGGAGCAAACGGGG
rnacentral:rRNA from 1 species